rnacentral:rRNA from 1 species
UACGUAGGGGGCAAGCGUUGUCCGGAAUCAUUGGGCGUAAAGCGCGCGUAGGCGGCCCGGUAAGUCCGUUGUGAAAGUCAAAGGCUCAACCUUUGAACGCCGAUGGAUACUGCCGGGCUAGAGUCCGGAAGAGGCGAGUGGAAUUCCUGGUGUAGCGGUGGAAUGCGUAGAUAUCGGGAGGAACACCAGUGGCGAAGGCGACUACCUGGCCUGUUCUUGACGCUGAGGCGCGAAAGCUAGGGGAGCAAACGGGG